UACCAGCACCCCGAGUGGUCGGGACGAUUAUUGGGCCUAAAGCAUGCGUAGCCGGUUUUACAAGUCCUCCGUUAAAUCCAACUGCUUAACAGAUGGGCCGCGGAGGAUACUAUAAGACUAGGAGGCAGGAGAGGCAAGCGGUACUCAGUGGGUAGGGGUAAAAUCCGUUGAUCCAUUGAAGACCACCAGUGGCGAAGGCGGCUUGCCAGAAUGCGCUCGACGGUGAGGGAUGAAAGCUGGGGGAGCAAACCGG
rnacentral:rRNA from 1 species